GAUGAAGAACGCAGCGAAAUGCGAUAAGUAAUGUGAAUUGCAGAAUUCAGUGAAUCAUCGAAUCUUUGAACGCACAUUGCGCCCGCCAGUAUUCUGGCGGGCAUGCCUGUUCGAGCGUCAUUUCAACCAUCAAGCCCCCGGCUUGUGUUGGGGACCUGCGGCUGCCGCAGGCCCUGAAAACCAGUGGCGGGCUCGCUAGUCACUCCGAGCGUAGUAAUACAUCUCGCUCAGGGCGUGCUGCGGGUUCCGGCCGUUAAAAAGCCUUAUUUACCCAAGGUUGACCUCGGAUCAGGUAAGAAGACCCGCUGAACUUAAGCAUAUCAAUAAGCGGAGGA
rnacentral:misc_RNA from 1 species